GGCGGAUCCGGCGGGGUAGCUGUGGUGUCGUCAGUCGACGCCCAACUUGUCCCUAGGAAGGGACCCUGUUCGGUCGAGGGUCGGACGCCGUGUAAUAUGCUGAUAUCUGGAGCGCUGACCUUGGGUGUCUCGAGGGGGUCCCGAUUAGACAUUCCAUCCUUGUUUCCUGCGUCCUGACACGUCCUGGGUCGUUCGGUGGGAAGGCUGCAAAAAGAACGAUGGGACAGAAGCCUGUUCCCUAUCACGCCUUCCGUGUCCCGUGUGUUAGGUGGGGAAGCGUCAGGUGCAUUUAAUGCUCCGGCCCGCGUGCGCGCGUCAGGCGGCGGAUGGC
rnacentral:lncRNA from 1 species